rnacentral:rRNA from 1 species
CGAACGGGGAGCAGCCCAGAGCCUGAAUCAGUGUGUGUGUUAGUGGAAGCGUCUGGAAAGGCGUGCGAUACAGGGUGACAGCCCCGUACACAAAAAUGCACAUACUGUGAGCUCGAUGAGUAGGGCGGGACACGUGGUAUCCUGUCUGAAUAUGGGGGGGCCAUCCUCCAAGGCUAAAUACUCCUGACUGACCGAUAGUGAACCAGUACCGUGAGGGAAAGGCGAAAAGAACCCCGGCGAGGGGAGUGAAAAAGAACCUGAAACCGUGUACGUACAAGCAGUGGGAGCACGCUUAGGCGUGUGACUGCGUACCUUUUGUAUAAUGGGUCAGCGACUUAUAUUCUGUAGCAAGGUUAACCGAAUAGGGGAGCCGAAGGGAAACCGAGUCUUAACUGGGCGUUAAGUUGCAGGGUAUAGACCCGAAACCCGGUGAUCUAGCCAUGGGCAGGUUGAAGGUUGGGUAACACUAACUGGAGGACCGAACCGACUAAUGUUGAAAAAUUAGCGGAUGACUUGUGGCUGGGGGUGAAAGGCCAAUCAAACCGGGAGAUAGCUGGUUCUCCCCGAAAGCUAUUUAGGUAGCGCCUCGUGAAUUCAUCUCCGGGGGUAGAGCACUGUUUCGGCAAGGGGGUCAUCCCGACUUACCAACCCGAUGCAAACUGCGAAUACCGGAGAAUGUUAUCACGGGAGACACACGGCGGGUGCUAACGUCCGUCGUGAAGAGGGAAACAACCCAGACCGCCAGCUAAGGUCCCAAAGUCAUGGUUAAGUGGGAAACGAUGUGGGAAGGCCCAGACAGCCAGGAUGUUGGCUUAGAAGCAGCCAUCAUUUAAAGAAAGCGUAAUAGCUCACUGGUCGAGUCGGCCUGCGCGGAAGAUGUAACGGGGCUAAACCAUGCACCGAAGCUGCGGCAGCGACGCUUAUGCGUUGUUGGGUAGGGGAGCGUUCUGUAAGCCUGUGAAGGUGUGCUGUGAGGUAUGCUGGAGGUAUCAGAAGUGCGAAUGCUGACAUAAGUAACGAUAAAGCGGGUGAAAAGCCCGCUCGCCGGAAGACCAAGGGUUCCUGUCCAACGUUAAUCGGGGCAGGGUGAGUCGACCCCUAAGGCGAGGCCGAAAGGCGUAGUCGAUGGGAAACAGGUUAAUAUUCCUGUACUUGGUGUUACUGCGAAGGGGGGACGGAGAAGGCUAUGUUGGCCGGGCGACGGUUGUCCCGGUUUAAGCGUGUAGGCUGGUUUUCCAGGCAAAUCCGGAAAAUCAAGGCCGAGGCGUGAUGACGAGGCACUACGGUGCUGAAGCAACAAAUGCCCUGCUUCCAGGAAAAGCCUCUAAGCAUCAGGUAACAUCAAAUCGUACCCCAAACCGACACAGGUGGUCAGGUAGAGAAUACCAAGGCGCUUGAGAGAACUCGGGUGAAGGAACUAGGCAAAAUGGUGCCGUAACUUCGGGAGAAGGCACGCUGAUACGUAGGUGAAGCGACUUGCUCGUGGAGCUGAAAUCAGUCGAAGAUACCAGCUGGCUGCAACUGUUUAUUAAAAACACAGCACUGUGCAAACACGAAAGUGGACGUAUACGGUGUGACGCCUGCCCGGUGCCGGAAGGUUAAUUGAUGGGGUUAGCGCAAGCGAAGCUCUUGAUCGAAGCCCCGGUAAACGGCGGCCGUAACUAUAACGGUCCUAAGGUAGCGAAAUUCCUUGUCGGGUAAGUUCCGACCUGCACGAAUGGCGUAAUGAUGGCCAGGCUGUCUCCACCCGAGACUCAGUGAAAUUGAACUCGCUGUGAAGAUGCAGUGUACCCGCGGCAAGACGGAAAGACCCCGUGAACCUUUACUAUAGCUUGACACUGAACAUUGAGCCUUGAUGUGUAGGAUAGGUGGGAGGCUUUGAAGUGUGGACGCCAGUCUGCAUGGAGCCGACCUUGAAAUACCACCCUUUAAUGUUUGAUGUUCUAACGUGGACCCGUGAUCCGGGUUGCGGACAGUGUCUGGUGGGUAGUUUGACUGGGGCGGUCUCCUCCUAAAGAGUAACGGAGGAGCACGAAGGUUGGCUAAUCCUGGUCGGACAUCAGGAGGUUAGUGCAAUGGCAUAAGCCAGCUUGACUGCGAGCGUGACGGCGCGAGCAGGUGCGAAAGCAGGUCAUAGUGAUCCGGUGGUUCUGAAUGGAAGGGCCAUCGCUCAACGGAUAAAAGGUACUCCGGGGAUAACAGGCUGAUACCGCCCAAGAGUUCAUAUCGACGGCGGUGUUUGGCACCUCGAUGUCGGCUCAUCACAUCCUGGGGCUGAAGUAGGUCCCAAGGGUAUGGCUGUUCGCCAUUUAAAGUGGUACGCGAGCUGGGUUUAGAACGUCGUGAGACAGUUCGGUCCCUAUCUGCCGUGGGCGCUGGAGAACUGAGGGGGGCUGCUCCUAGUACGAGAGGACCGGAGUGGACGCAUCACUGGUGUUCGGGUUGUCAUGCCAAUGGCACUGCCCGGUAGCUAAAUGCGGAAGAGAUAAGUGCUGAAAGCAUCUAAGCACGAAACUUGCCCCGAGAUGAGUUCUCCCUGACCCUUUAAGGGUCCUGAAGGAACGUUGAAGACGACGACGUUGAUAGGCCGGGUGUGUAAGCGCAGCGAUGCGUUGAGCUAACCGGUACUAAUGAACCGUGAGGCUUAACCUUACAACGCCGAAG